GACGAACGCUGGCGGCGUGCUUAACACAUGCAAGUCGAACGGAAAGGCCCUGCUUUUGUGGGGUGCUCGAGUGGCGAACGGGUGAGUAACACGUGAGUAACCUGCCCUUGACUUUGGGAUAACCUCAGGAAACUGGGGCUAAUACCGGAUAGGAGCUCCUGCUGCAUGGUGGGGGUUGGAAAGUUUCGGCGGUUGGGGAUGGACUCGCGGCUUAUCAGCUUGUUGGUGGGGUAGUGGCUUACCAAGGCUUUGACGGGUAGCCGGCCUGAGAGGGUGACCGGCCAAAUUGGGACUGGGAUACGGCCAAGACUCCUACGGGAGGCAGCAGUGGGGAUUAUUGCACAAUGGGCGGAAGCCGGAUGCAGCAAGGCCGCGGGCGGGAUAACGGCCUUCGGGUUGUAACCCGCUUUCGCCUGUGACGAAGCGUGAGUGACGGUAAUGGGUAAAGAAGCACCGGCUAACUACGUG
rnacentral:rRNA from 1 species